UGUGACCUGCUGUGUUCCCAGAAGUAUGU
rnacentral:piRNA from 1 species